rnacentral:rRNA from 1 species
ACCGACUCUCGGCAACGAAUUUCUCGGCUCUCCAUUCGAUAAAAAACGUACCAAAAUGCAAUACUUGGUGUGAAUUGCAAAAUCCCGGGAACCAUCAUUUCUUUGAACGCAAGUUGCGCCCGAACCCAUUAGGCCGAGGGAACGUCUGCCUGGGCGUCCCGCAUCACGUCCCCCCCCAACCCAUCAUUCUCUUGGGGGAUUCGAGGUGGA